UACGAAAGGGGCUAGCGUUGUUCGGAAUUACUGGGCGUAAAGCGCACGUAGGCGGCUUGGUAAGUUGGGGGUGAAAUCCCGGAGCUCAACUCCGGAACUGCCUUCAAAACUGCUAGGCUAGAGGAUGCGAGAGGUUGGCGGAAUUCCGAGUGUAGAGGUGAAAUUCGUAGAUAUUCGGAAGAACACCAGUGGCGAAGGCGGCCAACUGGAGCAUUUCUGACGCUGAGGUGCGAAAGCGUGGGGAGCAAACAGG
rnacentral:rRNA from 1 species